rnacentral:rRNA from 1 species
CCUACGGGGGGCUGCAGUGAGGAAUAUUGGUCAAUGGGCGUAAGCCUGAACCAGCCAAGUCGCGUGAGGGAUGACGGCCCUAUGGAUCGUAAACCUCUUUUAUAAGGGAAUAAAGUGCGGGACGUGUCCCGCUUUGUAUGUACCUUAUGAAUAAGGACCGGCUAACUCCGUGCCAGCAGCCGCGGUAAUACGGAGGAGCCGAGCGUUAUCCGGAUUUAUUGGGUUUAAGGGGUGCGUAGGCGGCCUUUAGGUCAGCGGGGAAAGUCUUGGGCUAAACCAUAGAAUUGCCGUGGAAACUGGGAGGCUUGAGUACGUUUGGGGCAGGCGGAAUGCGUGGUGUAGCGGUGAAAUGCUUAGAUAUCACGCAGAACCCCGAUUGCGAAGGCAGCCUGCCAAGCCGUAACUGACGCUGAUGCACGAAAGCGUGGGGAUCGAACAGGAUUAGAUACCCGUGUAGUC